rnacentral:rRNA from 1 species
AGCAGCCGCGGUAAUUCCAGCUCCAAUAGCGUAUAUUAAAGUUGCUGCAGUUAAAAAGCUCGUAGUUGAAUUUCGGGACUAAUAUGUCGGUCGUGCCUCGGUACGUACUGGCUUAUUGGUUUCUCCUUUCUGAAGAACCAUGAUGUCAUUUAUUUGGUGUCGUGGGGAAUCAGGACUGUUACUUUGAAAAAUUAGAGUGUUUAAAGCAGGCUCACGCUUGAAUACAUUAGCAUGGAAUAAUGAAAUAGGACGUUCGAUCCUAUUUUGUUGGUUUCUAGGAUCGACGUAAUGAUUAAUAGGGAUAGUUGGGGGCAUUAGUAUUCAAUCGUCAGAGGUGAAAUUCUUGGAUUUAUUGAAGACUAACUACUGCGAAAGCAUUUGCCAAGGAUGUUUUCAUUAAUCAAGAACGAAAGUUAGGGGAUCGAAGACGAUCAGAUACCGUCGUAGUCUUAACCAUAAACUAUGCCGACUAGGGAUCGGAUGAUGUUAAUUUUUAAUGACUCAUUCGGCGCCUUAAC